rnacentral:lncRNA from 1 species
AGCUAACCACCCGACUCGGCUUCGAGUCAAUCAUCCGCGGAUAGCCCGCGCGCUGGCUGCUCAACAGCCUACCGCUCUCAGCCCCCUAGCGGCGAAGUCGUCGCACACGCUAAGCUCGGCUCGAGUCGCACGACCUGACCAUCUGGUGGCGAUCGCGUAGCUCUUACCCAGCGUGGGCUCGAGACAUGACAUACCGUCUGGCGGCGAACGGAUCGCACCACACCCAACAACGGUCAUGUCAGACUCAGCCACCUGGAGGCACCCGCAUCGUACUUACCCAGCAUGGCAUCAGUCUGCUCUGGCGGCCUGAUCCCCAAUGGCUUAACCAUCCUGGCGGCGAAAACGUCGCACAAACGCCACGGCAAUGGCUCAAGCCCCGGGCGGUGAUCUCCACGCGGUCACGCCCAAUCUACCCACAGUACCAAGCUCGGCGGCGAAGUCGUCGCACACACGCCCUAGCUUGUACUAGGGACAUCAAAAGUCCUGGGAUUCCGGAAUCCACUUUCCACAGGUCGAGGGUUCAUAACCAACCCUAUAUUAUCGACCUAUCUCAUCCUAGUGGCUAUACCACUAUGCUCAUCAACCUAGGUUCCAAUACUCUAGGUUCUAUGUCCAUGUCGCUUAACUUAGGUACACUUGCUAGGUUCUUGUCCUCUUUGCCUAGAUGUCCAUUUCUAGGUUUACUAGUUCGACCUAGGUUUACUAGUUCGACCUAGGUUUACUAUCACUAGGUUCAAUGCCACACACCUAGAUUGUUUGACUCUAGGUUCACUAACACUAGGUUAGAUGCCACUCGAUCUAUCUGACAACCUAGUUGUCCAAUCCACUCUAUUUACACUAGAGCUAUCAUGUCACUUACUUAACUCUCAUGAGGCUACUUUGCAUUCUCCACUUUAACUAGCAUUAUAUACAUGCUAUGCUCAUUAUGCUUUCUAUGCACCAUUAUUUGACAUGCAUUUACACUAUGCAUUAUUAUCAUCAUGCAUUCAAAUUACUUAGCCCUUACCUUAUGCAUAUUUACUAAUGCAUCAUUUAGCCUUGUCUACAUGCACAUGCUUCAACCAGUUAUUACAUUGCUAAGACAUAAAGGGCGACCUAGUCGCUUCGGUAAGCACAACCCACCUUAGAUAGCUUUUCCGAUUGCUCGUCGACACUUGCAAUCGGCCUCCCGCGGCACUCGGCACCCGCUAAGGCCCGAUCUCACAGUGGCUCCCCAAGAGCGUGUCGCUUCGCUGUUUCGAGUGUCGGCGACCUUCGCCUUGCCGCUACGGUGCUCGGGAUCCGAUUUCACGAUUUUACGAUGUCACCUCGGCCGUCUCGGUGAACCCGAAGCCUAAACGUCUGUUUCUUUAAUAACUUCACAACGGCUUGUCGGAUUGCCGAACCGACUUCGCCAACGUGUUUCGUUACCUACCAAUUAGGUUUACAAGGGGUCAAAUGAGACCAAUCCCAUCUAUUUACAAAAACCCCUCUUUGAUGCCCUAGAUGCCAUUAUUGCCAAUUCCACCAAAUCGAUCUAUGAUUUGGGGUGAAAUCAUCUAAAUAGCAUGCUAGGGUGCCACUAAAUCCAUUUCUAGGGUUUUAGAACCCAUCUCAAAGAAAUCACCAUGAGAAGCCAUGAAACUCACCUCUCUAAGAGCUCCAAGGAGAAGAAGAAGACGAAGAGGAUGACGAUGGCGACGAUCUCCUGCAUCUCCUCCAUCUUCUCCUUCUUUUUCUCCUCUCUUUUCCUUUUCUUUCUUUCUUUCUUUCUCUUUUCCUUCUUUUCUCCCUUGCACGAACAGAGGAAGAGGGAGAGGCUGAGGGAGUGUGAGAGAGAGAGAGAAAUAUCCCUCUCUAAUACCCUCUCACAUAUUGUAACAAUAUCCCCAAAGGCCCCUCAACUUUUCGUCUCUUACACAGCCCUUAUUGGGCGUUCUGCGCGCGGAGCGACCGGUCUCCCCGACCUGGGACCGGUCCCCGGGGCCUUCCCCCGCGGACACGCGUUCGGGAACCGGUCCCUCCCUGAGAGACCGGUCCUCGGGAGACCGGUUCCUCUCAGAGAGACCGGUUCCCGAGAGCUAUACUUUUGGGACUUAGCCGAUUUUUGGCUCUUCUCACUGAUGUCGCAGGCUGGGACCGGUCCCUCCUCUGUCAGGGACCGGUUGCAUCAGCAACCCCACAGCCUUCGGCUGAUGGGACCGGUCUCUCACAUCCAGAGACCGGUCCCCGAGAGCAACUUCAGCCCAAAAAUGCUAUUUGCAUUGUUUGCUCUCGCGGACUCCAUUCUAAUGCACUUCUCGAUUCUCGUGCAUCCCAAGCUUUUCCAAAGCUUAUCCAUUCGACCAUUAGUCAAUCCUGGACGAAGUGCAACCCUCGGACUUCGAGGAUUCACAUUGUUACAUUCUCCCCUACUUAAAAAGAGUUUCGUCCGCGAAACUCACUCAUUUCUAACCCCUUUAUUCCUCGACCCACUUCUCGAGUACUCAAGGGUUUCAAUGCACUUUUGCACCUCGGAGUGGCCUUUUUUGUCAUCGAACUCAUCAAAAGGCCCACCACGAAGAACGUGAUACCACAUUUACUCAUAUUUUCCCACUUGCAACUUCAAAAGUGCAUUACCACUUACAAUCUCAAUAGCAGCGUGAGUCAUUACUCACAACUACAUGCACCACACUAACAGCCACCCGGCUUAGGCAGAACUACCCUUCGCUCUAUGGUGCGGAUUUAGCACAGUCGCAUCCCCUCGAUGAUCGUUCCACCACCGCAACUCUAUGUGUACGGGUAGACUCUCUCAAGUUACUCGAGUACUCACCAGGUGGUACUUCACCGACCUUGGCUAUACAAAGCCCGAAACCACCUUAUCAUCUUAUCGUCUUACCCAUACCAUCUCACCCAUCGGGAGAUGGCGUUCUUUCGUGCAUCUUGGAUUCUCAAUCCUUUUGAGAGCAUCAGUCUCGAUUUCAACUUCUCUCGUGGCUACCCAUUACUCAAGCGUCUCCUAGAGAUCACCUUCCUUUCUCCGGGCAUUAUAAGCCACGUUCAACUUCACGUGAACUCUUCGUUCGCGAAUCCGAGCCCAAACUCACUAAUAGAGUUUCCGGCUAUACCGAUCGUCACUUCCUCAGGUGGACUAAGACCACCAGUUCCUACGUAAGUCAAUCGCUUAACUCAUCUCGACGACGCCUAGCGUCACUCGCUCGCGAGCGUAGACCCAAUUAACAUUCUCGGGCGACAUUCCCAUUGAAGAAUUCGCACGCACUCCAAACAGGAGCAUCCAAGUCCUCAAAUCCCGUCAAGUCCUCAGGUCGGGUCACUACACACUCGACGUACUAUCGUUCUCACGAUCCUACGUGGCAUCCCACGCACUCGGGUCUAAGCUCGGACUACCGUCCUGACCAGAACUCUCCACCCUACCUAUAGAUAUCGGGCCGCUGUCUCUCACAGCUGACUGCGCCUGCCCAAUGGGCCCAGGCUCCACAGUCCUCAAAUGGUCCAGGCACGGGUCGUCCCCAAGCACUACCCACCAACGUCGUCCUAUACGACAUGCUCUACAGAGCGACCAACUCUAUCGGCUCCUAUGCACCUAGUGCGAGCCACCAGCCCCACGAGUAAUCCAUGGCCCGCUUCACACUUAGCCCCGCUAAAGUGCUACUGCCAAUCCACUCGACCGGCUGAAUCGAAUUCGCACCUCACGAGUAACUAUACUCGAGCGCUCUACGCCUCCAUAGCGUCUUACACGACAUCCGGCAUCAGGCAACUUAGCCUAUGCGCACCGGCCACACGAGCAACCACUCAUCUACCUCAAUUCGAGGUACUACUAGUCCCACAGGCCAAGUUCGGCACUACUCGGCCACUCUCUCAACAGUGAUUCUACUUUCACUGUUCGAUUCGUCAAAACAACAUCCGAGAUGCUCAGGCUACUCGAGUACUGGCGAUGUUACAGCGUAAUUCUCGCAAUUCGGUACUACUCAACCAAUUCCGCAACAGCGGCUUCUCACCACUGUUCGAUCUAUCGAAUCCACAUCUGGAAUACUCUUGGGAUAUUCGGGUGUCCCCAAACAUCAAGGCUAAACUCUCGUAAUCUCGAAUCCAAUGCUUCGAGAGUCCCUUCACCACUCGCUUCCUAUCCAAAAUCACCACUAGCUAUUUGCUAGGGUCACUUGGCUUUCUACCUGCUCCAGUAGACGCCAUACUCUCAUCCUGCUAGCAUGCUCGGGUACCUACUUGCCCGACCACUCGGUCUCUACUAUGCAAUGUAGUAAUAGUAGCAACUGACCAAUAAAGAAUGCACGCUAUGCACCAACUUGAGAUUAGUAAAAGCACAUGCUUGCUCAAUUAACUCAUACCUGCCACGACGACGUCGACAACGGCAGGCACCGCAACUCGGGUCGCUUAUCCAUGGCCGCUUGGCGCUCGUCGCGAACCCUCUGGUUGCAACGUCCUCAACGGCUGCUCCCCUGACCAUGCCGCAGGUGGCAUACCCGCCGGCUGUCCCGAAGAGGUACGGGCCACUGCCAGUGUCAAGGCCCGGCUAUCACCCUGCGGACACUCGUCCCGUACAUGACCCGGCAGCCCACACUUGAAGCACCUGCCCUCGCGCUGUUCACACUGCUGUGGGAAAUGAGGGCCUCCACAAAUCGCACAUCUCGCCGAGGACCGAAUGUGAUACGUCCCCGGAGCUCUAGAUCGAGAGCGCGUCCUCACUGAGGUCUGCUGGGAACUCGACUGACCAUCAUGUCCACUUACUGGCCGUCCCUUUCCCUUUUCCUUGUAAUGCUCCUCGCGCUUUUCCCGCAGGAAUGCAUUGCCUUGUUCUAUCCACAAGGCCCGAUUCAGGACUUCAGCGAAAGUUUGUAACUUAAGCAUCAGCACUGCCUGGUACAAGUCCGGCCGAAGCCCCCGCACGAAGCAAUCAGCCUUGUCCUCAUCGUCCCGCACCACGUCUGGGACGCAAUGCACGAUACGGGAAAAUUCCCGCUCGUAUUGCCUAACCGUGCGACUCCCUUGUCGCAGAUUAAGGAACCUCUCCUUAAGCUUCCGCUUCUCACUAUCGGGGAAAUAAGCAGAGAAUAUCAAUCCCUGAAAUUCUUCCCAAGCCAUAGGAGGGAGACUAGGUUGUCGGUCUCGCUUGACGCCUUUCCACCACACCUUCACCGAUUGUUUCAGGUAAUGCGCGGCUAGGUUCACUUUGUCUCGCUCCAGCGUGUACAGAUCCUCGAAGAGUGUUUCCAUGGAAUCGAUCCACAUCUCAACGACCCACGGAUCUGCAUCUUCACCAUCAAAGGUAGGCGGAUCAAACUUCUUGAAAGUCAUGAGGGCCGCUAAAGCUCGCUCCCUUUCCGCCACAACCUCUGGGCCAACAGGAGUCGGAUCGCCCAACCCCGACGGAAACAGCUCCGCCGCAACUCCCGGCUGUCCUCGACCAGCCGCAGCUGGUGCUGCCACCAGCCGAUCCACAGUCUCUUGGAGUCGUUCCAUUCGCUCCUCUUGGCGCAUAGCAGCCUCCUGCUGCUGCUGCACUAUAUCAGCUUGUUGUCUCAUCACUCCUACGAGUGUGGCCAGCUGAUCACGAAGCUCUGCACCUUCGCUCGCGUCGGUUCGCUCAGGGGCACCACCCGUCCCCUCCCGCGCCGAUCUAGAUGAAGAUCGCCUUCGCGGUGCCAUCGUUUCUUGAAACAGGACAACUCGAUUAGCCCUCUACCGACCUGGGUCGAACGCGAGACUACUAACACGGCUCAAAGCCAAUCUGGCGAAAGUCAAACAAGGGUGUCUAUCCUCAUCACUCGAUUUCACAUUGUGUGCACCCAACAUGAACACCCUCGGCUGAGAAUAAACAUUACCUUGAAUCUACCUCUAAUGUCCAUCUUAGAGGUUAUGACACGACCCAAUCCAUUACCUUUCGCCGCAAAUCACAAGUCCUCGUCUCUCACGAGCCUUAUUCUCCUAUGGUUUACUAUCCUAGGGUCUCCUAGGUCUGCCUAAACCAUUUUCUAUCCAGUUCUACUUUAUGCUCUGAUACCAUCUUAUCUGUCACGCCCCACGACCAACCGCCUAUUUGGACCGAGUCGCGGCGCCGACGACAGACCGUCGAACGGACCGGGGAUUUCCCUGUACGCGGACAGAGUCUCCCCAGUACGUCCAAGGCGUCGCAAAUCUAAACAAUCAACGAAUGUUCCAACAAGGAACGGAUAUCAAUCCAGAUUGCAUAAGGAAGUAUCAAAUACAUAAUCUACUUGCUAUUACAAGCAUUCAUUUAAAUACAUCUCAGUACACCCCAAAUCAGUUUACAUUUUACUUCCGAUUACAAUCACAAUGUACUACAUCCUUUAUUUUACAAGUUUGGUACAUCAUGAUUCUAGCCUUCUAGACCCCUAAGCUAGACUGCCUCAGGGCACUGCUACCUCGGUCUCUGUGGUGGGGCGCUAUCUACUGAGCUACGCCCUCGCCUCGCGCCGCCGCGCCGCACACGAACAACCUGAAAACCCCAAAACAACGUGGGGUGAGAACCAACUCCAUGGUUCCCAGUGGGUACGGCCACCCAAGGGAAAAGCCCGACCGAUAGGUCUAAAUAGGCCCUGCAACAUGUCAGUUCAACAAUAUACAAUGCGAAUAUAUUCAAUUGAAAAACUUGUCAGGCCUAACAAUAUGCGAUAUGAAAAUCAUGCAUCUAAACGCCUUUCUAGUAGAUUACUUGAUUCUAUAGUUACUUAGCUACUUUAGCUUACAUCUUUACUCUAAGGUCUCUAUUACCUUAGCUCAAACCUCUAUCUCUCGCUCAUAAGGGUUCCUCUACCCUAUAAUAGCUAACCACCCGACUCGGCUUCGAGUCAAUCAUCCGCGGAUAGCCCGCGCGCUGGCUGCUCAACAGCCUACCGCUCUCAGCCCCCUGGCGGCGAAGUCGUCGCACACGCUAAGCUCGGCUCGAGUCGCACGACCUGACCAUCUGGUGGCGAUCGCGUAGCUCUUACCCAGCGUGGGCUCGAGACAUGACAUACCGUCUGGCGGCGAACGGAUCGCACCACACCCAACAACGGUCAUGUCAGACUCAGCCACCUGGAGGCACCCGCAUCGUACUUACCCAGCAUGGCAUCAGUCUGCUCUGGCGGCCUGAUCCCCAAUGGCUUAACCAUCCUGGCGGCGAAAACGUCGCACAAACGCCACGGCAAUGGCUCAAGCCCCGGGCGGUGAUCUCCACGCGGUCACGCCCA